rnacentral:lncRNA from 1 species
GGGUGUGAGCUGUGGGUUCUAGAGUUUUAUCUCUAGGUUUUGUGAGAAGAAAAAUAUAAGAGAGAGUCUUAUCCAAUCUUCCAUACCACCACCUUCUCAUAAAGCUUUGUCUUCUGAUCUGAAAGAGUCUGGGAGAUCCAAAAAAAGAAGUUUGGAUCAGCCAUCCAAAGCCUUCGAUGCAAGCUAGCACUCUCAUGAAGGAAGAUCCGAUCAGAGCCUCGAGUAGAUGAUCUG